GCCUCAGCGUGAAACUUGUGUCGGAAGUCAACGCCCUUAUCCGUCUGCGUGGGACUUUUAUUUAACAACUUCCUGUCCGUCAGUUUGCCAGUACGUGUUGUUCUGUUCUCCAAUCUGGAUUAGACACAGCUGCGCUCGCUUUCAAAACCUAAAUUUAACGAAGAUUUUUCAGUGUUUUUAGACUUCAUCAGCAUACCACCUUUAUUUAAUUUAAUAAACAUGGACCAGAUGGAAGACCCCGCUGGAUCGGAUAAUAAACGAGCUAUAGAGCGGAAAAGGAGCUGAAGAUGCCAAAGGAGGAUUUCAGAGAGGACAAGCUUUCAACAUCCGCACUGUCCAUCACUUCGUCCCUCCUCUCACCCCCUAAACACCAGACACCGGUGGAAACGGCCUUGGUUUAGCCAGAGACCUCACCUCCAUACUCCAUU